rnacentral:lncRNA from 1 species
AACUUUUUAAAAUAUUAUUUUCUAGUUUUGCGGCUGGCAGAUGACCCUACAAGCUCUAAACUCGCAGUUAUCUACUACAUUUUUUAUUAUUUGUUCGAGUGAUCCACACAAAUGAUUUUACGUUAUGGCCGUAAGUAGUAAUACGGAGAAUUUACAAACAGUAUCUGAAAUUUCUUCAAGCAUCGUACGUACGUGGUUAAGCCAGGUUAGCCUUCAGGAUGGGAUGAAGCCAAUCGGACUUCUAAUAAAGUGAUGCUGUUUGUAUAAAAAAAGGUAAUAUCUGCACAACUUUCAAAUUUUAAAACAUAUGUUCAACCGUCAAUUUAAUAAGAAAAAUAAAUAAUAAUAGCUAGAGAAAUAAUUUUUAUGUGAGUUUUGAUGAAUUAGUAACCGUUAGUUUUCGGUUGAAUAUGAUAUAUAGUGAUAAACUUAAUUUUCUAGGUUUAUUUUUCGAAGAUGUACAGAAACAAGUACAAAACAAUUAUCUCUCAAAACCAUUAUAAACUUGUGAGGUUGAUUUAUAUUUUAUUUAAGUUUUUGUGACUUUCAAAAUUAGAGUUAAAUUGAACUUUUAUUUUUCAUUUAAAAUUGAUGCAGGUCUAUCAUUUAAAUGAUGAUUAACCAGUGGAUGAAAGUGAUACAUAUACCAACAAAUCCAGGGUUUAUAUAUCUAAAAGAAUGUAUAUUGAAACGUAAGACAUAUACGUUUUUGGUUGAUUUGAUGCUAAAUUAUUGACUGAGAUAUUUCCAGUCUCCAUGUCCUUGUGAUGGUGUUGAGAACAAGGCAUAAUUAAAAACCAAGUUCUUAUGUUCACACAAACCUUAGAGAUAAUUGGUUAAUGAUGAAAAACCUUUUGUGUGUGUUGUCUGGCAAAAAUGAAGACAUUUGAUAAAGGGAAAGCUACGUUCUCGUACACCAAAUUUUUAACCUAUUUAGUGAGGAGACGAAAACUAUAUUGAAAACUUAAUAUGCUCAAGUAACUUAACUCUAUUUAGUAAAUAAGACAUAUUGGUAAGUUAGAAUAAAAAUAGUUUUUUUUUUGAACGAAGGGUUUUCAUAUAAUAAAAAUAGUUAGUGUCUAAUAACCUGUAAGAUAAUAAGAAAAUUGUUUUUUUUUUUAUUAAAACAUAUAUUCUACGACGGUAAAAUGGAGUGAAAGAUGCAAAGGAGUUAAGAAGAUGAAACCAGCGUAGCUGCGUAGGUUUUCUCAAAUGGAGAAAGAAUGAGAUAAUACAAUUUACGUGACUAAGAGCAGGUUCAGUGGGAGUUUGGAGAAAGAGUUCGGGCUCGGGUUUAUAGGCAAAGUGGGUUUAAAAAAAACGAAAUAAAGUUCAUUAUUGAUGGAUCGGUUCAUCCGCGCGAGUUCGACCCAUCUCUUAGCCAUGUGUCACACUGCGAUUGGAGGAGAUAUCGUGGUAAUUUUCGGGAGAGGAAAA